CUUCUUUUCCAACUCUAGAGAGUUCUCCAAGAAGGAAGAACUCUUAUUUUCAACAAAUGAAGAUAGAGGAAGUAACGAGAAAGAAAUUGAGGGAGAGAUUAAAGGGUCAAGGUUGGUGAUUAUUCAAGUUUAUGGCAGCAAGGAUGAGUCCAUUAAAGAAGCAAAAACGUUUUUGACCAAGCCCUAAAAUUUUCAAGCAAAUUGUGUCAUAAAAGCCUAAGGUAUGAGGCAGCAUAUACAUGUUGUGUGUGGAUAAACACUAAAGGUAUGUAAAGCUAACCUUCUUUCUUUUGGCAUGAUUUAUAUGAAACAAACGGACGAAGGUAUAAAUUCCAAAGAAGCUCCUAUUCUUAGAGACACUAGGAUGGCUAAUGUUCGUAAAUUCCUAGAAAUUAUAUCAUUAUAUUUUGAUACAUGAGUUUGAUUCCAGCCAUCCUAUUUUGGUAUAAUUCAUGCUUUAGUAUAAUUCAUAAUGACAAUCGAAGGUUACUUGAAAUAACUGUUAUCUUGAUUUUUAAAUGAUAGUUAUUUCAAUUAUUUAAUUGAUCCCCAUAUUAUGUUUCGAAAUAUGGAAAAUAAUUUCUGAAAGACUGUUUUGACAUAGACCAUCGUGACAUCCGAAAGAAGUACACUAUGAUUAUAGCUCAGUUUCUUUUAUAUGACUUGUCAUCACGAUUAAGCUAUUGAGUCUCUAUAAAUAUUUUUAUAUUUUAAAUUGCAUUUAGUUUCUCACUACUCUACUCGUGCAUACUCUAACCAUUCUUUCACUGAGCCUGGGCCAGGAUAUGUUAUCAAGCGUACUUUUCUGCAUUUUUUUCGCCAUGCCCCGACGUGAGGGAGCAGGUACCGAAGUUCGAUUUGCUGAUCCACCUGUUUAGGAUAUUUGCUGCGUCGUUGACAGUGCUUCCUUGUUCGGAGCUUGUAUUUUGGUACUGACUUUAUCUCUGUAUAUUUGGAUAUUUUAGUCAGGGGUACGACGGGGCCCUAUCCCGUCAUAUGGCUAUGCUAUCAUCUGUAGAGGUCUGUAGACAAAGUUAUGUUGUGGGUUUUGUAUUUAUGGUUUGGGUUUUGUGUGUUUUGUGACGGCCUGUCAGCCCUCGUGCCUACAUCUAUUUUUGUGAUCUAUUUAGAAAUCUUUUCUAAUCACUACCUAUGUUUAUUCGA